rnacentral:lncRNA from 1 species
CGGGAUUAUUCAUAGAGGAAGAGCAGUCUGAACAACCAAGGAGACAAGGCCACUCAGCUCAGGAGAAAGUGAAAGGAGAGUUCUUUAUUCUCUCCCACCUCUCUGCUCAACCUCUGAAAGGGAAAAGACCCAACAGGAGCAGAGCAGAAGCCCCACCCACAAAGGCCCAAGAGGGAGAGGAGAGAGGAAAAUCAUUAAUCACCUUUAACAAGAUACAUGCCUGCUGGUACUUACCUGGAAUGUUGACAUCACCGUACCUGAGACAGGAGAGAAGAAAAUUCCAAGGGAGACUCACGUAAAUAUUACUUCUUCCAAACAACGGGAACGACUCCAUCUAUUCUUCCCAGAUUAAAAUUCUGUUCUUUGGAAACAUUCCUGGUAAGCGUCUGCACUGGUAGAAAGAAAAUCUUAGGAAGACACUUAGAAGUUUUGCAAGCAUUUCUGUGGUUCCAGAGGAUGUGAUCUGACAGUGCUCUGGUUGGGAAAAAAUCUGAUCCUGU